GCGAGAAUAGCUCAGUUGGUAGAGCACAACCUUGCCAAGGUUGGGGUCGCGGGUUCGAAUCCCGUUUCUCGCU
rnacentral:tRNA from 1 species